AACCUUUGGUUCAUAUGAGAGCAUGUGUUCAUGCCCUCUGUGUGAAAUGUGCCUCCAUUCAGACCUUGCUAUGUCAGCACAUUAGCUAUCUGACA
rnacentral:snoRNA from 1 species